rnacentral:rRNA from 1 species
UACGUAGGGUCCGAGCGUUGUCCGGAAUUAUUGGGCGUAAAGCGCGCGUAGGCGGCUUUGCAAGCCGGAUGUGAAAUCCCCGGGCUUAACCUGGGAACUGCAUUCGGGACUGCAUUGCUAGAGUAUGGGAGAGGGAAGUGGAAUUUCAGGUGUAGCGGUGAAAUGCGUAGAUAUCUGAAGGAACAUCAGUGGCGAAAGCGACUUCCUGGACCAAUACUGACGCUCAUGUGCGAAAGCGUGGGGAGCAAACAGG